rnacentral:rRNA from 1 species
GGGUUGUGAGGUUAAGCGACUAAGCGUACACGGUGGAUGCCCUGGCAGUCAGAGGCGAUGAAGGACGUGCUAAUCUGCGAUAAGCGUCGGUAAGGUGAUAUGAACCGUUAUAACCGGCGAUUUCCGAAUGGGGAAACCCAGUGUGUUUCGACACACUAUCAUUAACUGAAUCCAUAGGUUAAUGAGGCGAACCGGGGGAACUGAAACAUCUAAGUACCCCGAGGAAAAGAAAUCAACCGAGAUUCCCCCAGUAGCGGCGAGCGAACGGGGAGCAGCCCAGAGCCUGAAUCAGUGUGUGUGUUAGUGGAAGCGUCUGGAAAGGCGCGCGAUACAGGGUGACAGCCCCGUACACAAAAAUGCACAUGCUGUGAGCUCGAUGAGUAGGGCGGGACACGUGGUAUCCUGUCUGAAUAUGGGGGGACCAUCCUCCAAGGCUAAAUACUCCUGACUGACCGAUAGUGAACCAGUACCGUGAGGGAAAGGCGAAAAGAACCCCGGCGAGGGGAGUGAAAAAGAACCUGAAACCGUGUACGUACAAGCAGUGGGAGCACGCUUAGGCGUGUGACUGCGUACCUUUUGUAUAAUGGGUCAGCGACUUAUAUUCUGUAGCAAGGUUAACCGAAUAGGGGAGCCGAAGGGAAACCGAGUCUUAACUGGGCGUUAAGUUGCAGGGUAUAGACCCGAAACCCGGUGAUCUAGCCAUGGGCAGGUUGAAGGUUGGGUAACACUAACUGGAGGACCGAACCGACUAAUGUUGAAAAAUUAGCGGAUGACUUGUGGCUGGGGGUGAAAGGCCAAUCAAACCGGGAGAUAGCUGGUUCUCCCCGAAAGCUAUUUAGGUAGCGCCUCGUGAAUUCAUCUCCGGGGGUAGAGCACUGUUUCGGCAAGGGGGUCAUCCCGACUUACCAACCCGAUGCAAACUGCGAAUACCGGAGAAUGUUAUCACGGGAGACACACGGCGGGUGCUAACGUCCGUCGUGAAGAGGGAAACAACCCAGACCGCCAGCUAAGGUCCCAAAGUCAUGGUUAAGUGGGAAACGAUGUGGGAAGGCCCAGACAGCCAGGAUGUUGGCUUAGAAGCAGCCAUCAUUUAAAGAAAGCGUAAUAGCUCACUGGUCGAGUCGGCCUGCGCGGAAGAUGUAACGGGGCUAAACCAUGCACCGAAGCUGCGGCAGCGACGCUGAUGCGUUGUUGGGUAGGGGAGCGUUCUGUAAGCCUGCGAAGGUGUGCUGUGAGGCAUGCUGGAGGUAUCAGAAGUGCGAAUGCUGACAUAAGUAACGAUAAAGCGGGUGAAAAGCCCGCUCGCCGGAAGACCAAGGGUUCCUGUCCAACGUUAAUCGGGGCAGGGUGAGUCGACCCCUAAGGCGAGGCCGAAAGGCGUAGUCGAUGGGAAACAGGUUAAUAUUCCUGUACUUGGUGUUACUGCGAAGGGGGGACGGAGAAGGCUAUGUUGGCCGGGCGACGGUUGUCCCGGUUUAAGCGUGUAGGCUGGUUUUCCAGGCAAAUCCGGAAAAUCAAGGCUGAGGCGUGAUGACGAGGCACUACGGUGCUGAAGCAACAAAUGCCCUGCUUCCAGGAAAAGCCUCUAAGCAUCAGGUAACAUCAAAUCGUACCCCAAACCGACACAGGUGGUCAGGUAGAGAAUACCAAGGCGCUUGAGAGAACUCGGGUGAAGGAACUAGGCAAAAUGGUGCCGUAACUUCGGGAGAAGGCACGCUGAUAUGUAGGUGAAGUCCCUUGCGGAUGGAGCUGAAAUCAGUCGAAGAUACCAGCUGGCUGCAACUGUUUAUUAAAAACACAGCACUGUGCAAACACGAAAGUGGACGUAUACGGUGUGACGCCUGCCCGGUGCCGGAAGGUUAAUUGAUGGGGUUAGCCGCAAGGCGAAGCUCUUGAUCGAAGCCCCGGUAAACGGCGGCCGUAACUAUAACGGUCCUAAGGUAGCGAAAUUCCUUGUCGGGUAAGUUCCGACCUGCACGAAUGGCGUAAUGAUGGCCAGGCUGUCUCCACCCGAGACUCAGUGAAAUUGAACUCGCUGUGAAGAUGCAGUGUACCCGCGGCAAGACGGAAAGACCCCGUGAACCUUUACUAUAGCUUGACACUGAACAUUGAGCCUUGAUGUGUAGGAUAGGUGGGAGGCUUUGAAGUGUGGACGCCAGUCUGCAUGGAGCCGACCUUGAAAUACCACCCUUUAAUGUUUGAUGUUCUAACGUUGACCCGUAAUCCGGGUUGCGGACAGUGUCUGGUGGGUAGUUUGACUGGGGCGGUCUCCUCCUAAAGAGUAACGGAGGAGCACGAAGGUUGGCUAAUCCUGGUCGGACAUCAGGAGGUUAGUGCAAUGGCAUAAGCCAGCUUGACUGCGAGCGUGACGGCGCGAGCAGGUGCGAAAGCAGGUCAUAGUGAUCCGGUGGUUCUGAAUGGAAGGGCCAUCGCUCAACGGAUAAAAGGUACUCCGGGGAUAACAGGCUGAUACCGCCCAAGAGUUCAUAUCGACGGCGGUGUUUGGCACCUCGAUGUCGGCUCAUCACAUCCUGGGGCUGAAGUAGGUCCCAAGGGUAUGGCUGUUCGCCAUUUAAAGUGGUACGCGAGCUGGGUUUAGAACGUCGUGAGACAGUUCGGUCCCUAUCUGCCGUGGGCGCUGGAGAACUGAGGGGGGCUGCUCCUAGUACGAGAGGACCGGAGUGGACGCAUCACUGGUGUUCGGGUUGUCAUGCCAAUGGCACUGCCCGGUAGCUAAAUGCGGAAGAGAUAAGUGCUGAAAGCAUCUAAGCACGAAACUUGCCCCGAGAUGAGUUCUCCCUGACUCCUUGAGAGUCCUGAAGGAACGUUGAAGACGACGACGUUGAUAGGCCGGGUGUGUAAGCGCAGCGAUGCGUUGAGCUAACCGGUACUAAUGAACCGUGAGGCUUAACCUUACAACGCCGAAGGUGUUU